GGCGCAUCAUAACCGCCGCCGCCCUCGCCACACCGCCUCCCCAUUGGCUGCGGCGCCGCCCCCAACCCAGAGCGCUGCGGCCUCCGUGAGCGGGGCCUGGGCGAAGGGGGCGGGGCGUCGAGGGGGCGCCCCGGCGGUCGCAGGGAAGGGGGAGAGGGGAGCGAGGCGCGGGGGGCGCCGGGAGAGCGCCUCCGCGGUGGGACGGAGCCGGACUGGGCCGAGCGAGGGAGGCUCCUGAGCCUCGGAGGACCCCGGGGUUGGCUUUGGGAGCUGAAAGUUUCCUUGGACCCCUCGGAAGCCCCGUGACAUCAGAGGCCGGGCCUGGCAGGGGCAGGCAGGAAACGUGUCUGGAGGCUACUGCCCUCUCCGCGUGACCUUGGGCGAGCAGCCUCCUCCUGGGGCUCAGUGGGUGUGAUUUUGUAACAUUUCCCAGCGCUGCCACAGGCGCGUCUCGCCCUGUCCAACGCGGAGCCCGAAGAAUUACUAAGAAACCGAGGUCUGAAGGAGGGAAGAGGUGACGGGCUCGAGGCCACACGGUGGGCCAGGCUGGGCCCGGCUGCACGCCGGCUACCGGGGCCCAGCCCUCUGCACGCCUCCCGCAGCCUCAGUUUCCCUGUCCGUGGUACUGAGGAUGCUCGGGCCUAGAAGUUCAGGGCUGGAGGCCCAGGGACCGUCGAGGGAGGGGCAUCAUCCCCGCCAUGGGGCCGCCGCAACUGCCCAGAGCACAGGCCAAAGACCCCUGAGGCCCCCUCCUCCUUCAGAGCAUGCACGUCGCAAAUUCUCAAUGACUGUUUGGAGGAAUGAAUAAAUGAAUUGUGAACAAAUGGUCUGAAGAUUCCAGAGGUAGCCUAAUGGGGCCCUGCUGCUUGAGUUCUAAUCCCAGCCCCACCAGUUGUUGGCUAUUUGGCCCUGGGCAGGCACACCAGAAGACUACAUUUCCUAGCCCCCCACCCCCUUGCAGUGUCUGGGACCAUGUGACUCCUUAAUUAGGUCACUUCUCUCUCCUGGGAGGCCCUCUCUGCCCUCUCUAAGUCUAACUAGUGGCAAAGGAUCUAAGGGAAGAAACCUGGCAGAGUUACUAGUCCCAAGAAGCCUGGGUCCCUGAAUCACCACAUGGAAGUCUACGCGCCCACCACCUGAAUGGACUAAGGAAGCUGCAGGAUGAAGACAACAGCAUCACAAGGAGGAAGCCAGGAUCCCUGUGUUACCACAAGGAGGAGAGAUGCCUAACCAAGACCGUCUGCAAGGAUUUUGUGUGAGCCAGAAGCAGAGCUGUAUGGUGUUCAGCCACUGAGAUUUGAGGGCUGUUUGUUACAGCAGUUGACCUAUCCUGACUGACACAUCACAUCAUUCCUUUCCCCACCAUGUGUCUAACAUGCUACCAAAUUGAAUUUUAAGUAAAUUAGUACUUAUAAAUUAAGUACAAAUGCUUUUCAAAUUCACAUGAAUCUUUGGUAAAUAAAACUGGUUGUAAAAUUAUUGAUAAAUAUAGA
rnacentral:lncRNA from 1 species